UACAGAGGGUGCAAGCGUUGUCCGGAAUCACUGGGCGUAAAGGGCGCGUAGGCGGCCCGGUAAGUAGGGGGUGAAAUCCUGCGGCUUAACCGCAGGACUGCCUUCUAAACUGUCGGGCUCGAGCACGGUAGAGGCAGAUGGAAUUCCCGGUGUAGCGGUGGAAUGCGUAGAGAUCGGGAAGAACAUCAGUGGCGAAGGCGGUCUGCUGGGCCGUUGCUGACGCUGAGGCGCGACAGCGUGGGGAGCAAACAGG
rnacentral:rRNA from 1 species